rnacentral:tRNA from 1 species
AAAAUUAAUAUGAUUAUUCUAAGUGUUUGCUAAGCACAGUAGAUUUGAGUUUAAUUCUCGAAUAAUUUUG